UAGCAUCAGUAGAUACCUAUAUGGAUGGAAU
rnacentral:piRNA from 1 species